rfam:Myotis lucifugus cont2.49211, whole genome shotgun sequence.
CGUCUAUUACUUGCAGUCAGUAACAAAGAUUCAUCCUUGUGUCCGUCAAGCAGCAAGGGGGAUCUUUGUCACUUGGUGUAAUUAAUAGCUGCUC